AUUGAACGCUGGCGGCAUGGCUAAAACAUGCAAGUCGAACGCGAAAGGUAGCAAUACCAAGUAGAGUGGCGAAAGGGCGAGUAAUGCAUUCCUACGUGCCCCAAGGUCGGGAAUAGCUCGGGGAAACCCGGAACUUAAACCGACUAAUGUCUACGGACCAAAGGACUUGCUGCCCUCGGGAGGCGGGGAAGUGUCCUAUCAGGUUGUUGGU
rnacentral:rRNA from 1 species